rnacentral:lncRNA from 12 species
UUCCUAACCAGCCCUACUUACCACUGGGUACAUGGGUUACUUAUCCAAACUCACCCUGACCUUCAAAAAUGUUUGGGUUGAUGUCAGUGUUUGGGCUGAGGUUUGGUUUGGCCGGUUCUGCUUUUUCCAUAGCAGUGCACCCAUCCCUAGAAGAGAUGGAAUAAAAAGAGGAAUUCUAAGCACACACAGACCCAACCAUUUAACAGAAACAAUAAAAAAUCCCCUUCCCCUCAUCUUUAUCUGACCGAUGCUCCUGAGCAGCACCAUGAAACAGCAACACCCGAUGAAAAGGAGGGAAGGAAACAGAUUUAUGAAGCAGCUAAACGGUGUUUACAUUGAUAAAUGAGCUUUCUAGAGAUCCCCAAGUCCACUCCAAACCCCCUUUUUAGCAGCUCUUUGCCCAGCCAGCUGCAGCAUCCCCUGGGACCUCCCUUCUCCGUUUCUGCCGAGGUCUCGGAGCAGUGCCCAGGUGGGGAGAUUGAAGGAUGUGCUGCUGCUCCCAUCAGCUGCACAGGAUGGACUCUGGCCCAUCCUGUCAGCACCCUGGGAAGGAGCAAAGGCCGCCUUUGUGCGCCCAUCUCGUUCUGGUUCGAAUUAAGAGCGGCGGCGGUUUCCGCUUUUCCGCAGAAAGCUCCCGUGUUCCGUGGCCGUGCUCCGGUUGCAGCGCCCUGGGAGGCUCCAGGCAGAUGUCUCACUUUGCUCCCGUGGUUUUCCUUCCAAGGGGAGGGGAAGAGGAGGUGGGGGUUUGGCCAUGGGCAAAGGAGAGGGAGAACGGGAGAAUGGGGGAAUGGGAGAACGGGAGAGUGGGGCUGGGGAUGAAUUGCGAGACAAGGAAUGUUCCACGGACUGCAGAAUUCCCAGUUUCCUCCCAUUGGCCUCCAAAUUGGGAUGGAAUGGUGGAGAAUUGGGAUAGGAUGGUGGAGAAUUGGGAUGGAAUGGAAUGGUGGAGAAUUGGGAUGGGAUGGGAUGGUGGAGAAUUGGGAUGGGAUGGGAUGGUGGAGAAUUGGGAUGGGAUGGGAUGGUGGAGAAUUGGGAUGGGAUGGGAUGGUGGAGAAUUGGGAUGGGAUGGGAUGGUGGAGAAUUGGGAUGGGAUGGGAUGGUGGAGAAUUGGGAUGGGAUGGGAUGGUGGAGAAUUGGGAUGGGAUGGGAUGGUGGAGAAUUGGGAUGGGAUGGGAUGGUGGAGAAUUGGGAUGGGAUGGGAUGGUGGAGAAUUGGGAUGGGAUGGGAUGGUGGAGAAUUGGGAUGGGAUGGGAUGGUGGAGAAUUGGGAUGGGAUGGGAUGGUGGAGAAUUGGGAUGGGAUGGGAUGGUGGAGAAUUGGGAUGGGAUGGGAUGGUGGAGAAUUGGGAUGGGAUGGGAUGGUGGAGAAUUGGGAUGGGAUGGGAUGGUGGAGAAUUGGGAUGGGAUGGGAUGGUGGAGAAUUGGGAUGGGAUGGGAUGGUGGAGAAUUGGGAUGGGAUGGGAUGGAAUGGUGGAGAAUUGGGAUGGGUUGGUGGAGAAUUGGGAUGGAGUGGUGGAGAAUAUUCCUCAGCACAGCCACAGAAUGGUUUGGGUUGGGAGGGACCCUGAAGCCCAUCGAGUUCCACCUGCACCUUCCAUUAUCCCAGAGUGCUCCAAGCUCCAUCCAGCCUAGCCUUGGACAUUCCAGGGAUCCAGGGGCAGCCACAGCUUGUGCCAGGGCUACCCACCCUCACAGGGACCAAUUCCUUCCCAACAUCCCAUCCAACCCUGCCCUCUGAAACACCCCAGUCAGAGGGAGAAAAUCUGCAGGGGGCACAAAACCCCCUCAGCACCCAGAGUAGGAGCUGCAAGCAGCAUGAGAUCACGACACAGAUGUGAUGGCAAUUUGAAGCCAAUAGAGACUGUUUAGGAAAACAGUUCCCUGCUCUGAUCCUGGCAUUCCCAAGUGUCCCCAGCUCCCGGGGAAGGCACAGACAGAGUGGCAGCAGCAAUGAAUGAAUGGUGAUUUUCUUCAGCUGCCUCUC